rnacentral:rRNA from 1 species
GACGAACGCUGGCGGCGUGCCUAAUACAUGCAAGUCGAACGCAGUGGGGACUGGUGAGUAACACGUGGGUAACCUCCCAUCAGAGGGGAUAACCCUUUGACACAGGUGCUAAACCGAUACUGAUGGAUGGACCCGGGGGGCCUUAGCUAGUUGGUGAGGUAACGGCUCACAAAGGCCACGAUGCAUCGCCGGCCUGAGAGGGGGAUCGGCCACACUGGGACGGAGACACGGCCCAGACUCCUACGGGAGGCAGCAGUAGGGAAUCUUCGGCAAUGGACGAAAGUCUGACCGAGCAACGCCGCGUGAGUGAAGAAGGUUUUCGGAUCGUAAAACUCUGUUGUUAGAGAAGCGGUAUCUAACCAGAAAGCCACGGCUAACUACGUGCCAGCAGCCGCGGUAAUUC